rnacentral:rRNA from 1 species
ACCAUCACGACCAUCUGACUUCAUCUCGUCUCGUAACCGCACCACUGUCUCGGCUCUAACUUACACCGCCGGGGCAAAAACUCCGGCGCCGAUCGUCACACGCAGGAGCCACCGCUUGCGAGCGGGUCUCCUCCUCGUCACCAACCCACCCCGAAAAGCCGCUAUCAUUACCCUUCCCAGGUGCCUUUUAAACAACCCGCGACAAUCCGCGGCCGCACGGCCGGGUUGACAAGCCGGCCUGAGGCGCGUCGACGUGCUAAUCGUAGGGGUCCUGGUGUGCUAAGUAACUCGAUAGGGUGCGCGCAGGGGAAGAAGAAGGAGUGAAGUCUAGGUGGAGCGAAAUCUAGGUGGCAUAGCGGGGGUUGGGCGGCGAGCGGCCGAGCGUCCGCAUCGUGUGCCCCCGGCGAGCGGGGCGACCUGUCAACGUUGUUAUCAGAGAUGAAGCCGGCCAUGGUCGUUUUAGUUAACAACAAAGGUCGUAUUUUGUGUUUCCAACAUCGUUUUUAUGAUUGUGUCAGUGGUAGCAGCGGUGGGUCGUGGAAGAGUGGCCAAUUUCCUUUAGGGGACCGGUCAAGGUCGUCUUUGUUUAUGAUAAAGGUCGUUUUUUUGUUCUUUCUUACGUCGUUUUUUUUAGUCGUACUCGUGGUGGAGCGACCACCUUCGUUAGUGUACUCGGUCAAGGUCGUUUUGGUUUACGACCAAGGUUGUUUUUAGUUUUAGUUAACAUCCUUUUUGUGGUGGCAGGGUCGUUUUUUUAGAUGUGAUCCGAGGUCGUUUUUUACUACGGCCAUCUUCGUUUUUGGUGGUUACCAAGGUCGUAGGGCGACGGGCCAAGUUCGUGGCAGUGGUAGGACACCCGCGGUAGCAGCGGCGGCACGUGACCAACAUCGUGGCGCUGUGCAGCUAGGGUCGCGACGAUACACGACCAACGUCGUGCCUGCACAAACCAACAUCGUGGAGCGGUGCGGCCAAGGUCGAGGUGUGCGGCACCAUCGCCGUAGAGAAUCGUGGCUGGUGGCACCAAAC